GGUUGAUCCUGCCAGUAGUCAUAUGCUUGUCUCAAAGAUUAAGCCAUGCAUGUCUAAGUAUAAACAAUUCUAUACUGUGAAACUGCGAAUGGCUCAUUAAAUCAGUUAUAGUUUAUUUGAUAAUUUCUUUCUACAUGGAUAACCGUGGUAAUUCUAGAGCUAAUACAUGCAUAAAAACCCGACUUACGAAGGGUUGUAUUUAUUAGAUAAAAACCAAUGAGGGCAACCUCUUUUUUGGUGAUUCAUAAUAACUUCUCGAAUCGUAUGGCCUUGUGCUGACGAUGUAUCAUUCA
rnacentral:rRNA from 1 species